rnacentral:rRNA from 1 species
AUUGAACGCUGGCGGCAUGCCUUACACAUGCAAGUCGAACGGUAACAGGUCUUCGGAUGCUGACGAGUGGCGAACGGGUGAGUAAUACAUCGGAACGUGCCCAGACGUGGGGGAUAACGAGGCGAAAGCUUUGCUAAUACCGCAUACGAUCUAAGGAUGAAAGCAGGGGACCGCAAGGCCUUGCGCGUUUGGAGCGGCCGAUGGCAGAUUAGGUAGUUGGUGGGAUAAAAGCUUACCAAGCCGACGAUCUGUAGCUGGUCUGAGAGGACGACCAGCCACACGGGGACUGAGACACGGCCCAGACUCCUACGGGAGGCAGCAGUGGGGAAUUUUGGACAAUGGGCGAAAGCCUGAUACAGCAAUGCCACGUGCAGGAUGAAGGCCUUCGGGUUGUAAACUGCUUUUGUACGGAACGAAAAGGCUCUGGCUAAUACCUGGGGCACAUGACGGUACCGUAAGAAUAAGCACCGGCUAACUACGUG